AGCGUACACGGUGGAUGCCCUGGCAGUCAGAGGCGAUGAAGGACGUGCUAAUCUGCGAUAAGCGCCGGUAAGGUGAUAUGAACCGUUAUAACCGGCGAUUUCCGAAUGGGGAAACCCAGUGUGAUUCGUCACACUAUCAUUAACUGAAUCCAUAGGUUAAUGAAGCGAACCGGGGGAACUGAAACAUCUAAGUACCCCGAGGAAAAGAAAUCAACCGAGAUUCCCCCAGUAGCGGCGAGCGAACGGGGAGGAGCCCAGAGCCUGAAUCAGCAUGUGUGUUAGUGGAAGCGUCUGGAAAGGCGCGCGAUACAGGGUGACAGCCCCGUACACAAAAGCGCAUGUGCUGUGAGCUCGAUGAGUAGGGCGGGACACGUGGUAUCCUGUCUGAAUAUGGGGGGACCAUCCUCCAAGGCUAAAUACUCCUGACUGACCGAUAGUGAACCAGUACCGUGAGGGAAAGGCGAAAAGAACCCCGGCGAGGGGAGUGAAACAGAACCUGAAACCGUGUACGUACAAGCAGUGGGAGCACAGGUUUACCUGUGUGACUGCGUACCUUUUGUAUAAUGGGUCAGCGACUUAUAUUCUGUAGCAAGGUUAACCGCAUAGGGGAGCCGAAGGGAAACCGAGUCUUAAUUGGGCGUUAAGUUGCAGGGUAUAGACCCGAAACCCGGUGAUCUAGCCAUGGGCAGGUUGAAGGUUGGGUAACACUAACUGGAGGACCGAACCGACUAAUGUUGAAAAAUUAGCGGAUGACCUGUGGCUGGGGGUGAAAGGCCAAUCAAACCGGGAGAUAGCUGGUUCUCCCCGAAAGCUAUUUAGGUAGCGCCUCGUGAAUUCAUCUCCGGGGGUAGAGCACUGUUUCGGCUAGGGGGCCAUCCCGGCUUACCAACCCGAUGCAAACUGCGAAUACCGGAGAAUGUUAUCACGGGAGACACACGGCGGGUGCUAACGUCCGUCGUGAAGAGGGAAACAACCCAGACCGCCAGCUAAGGUCCCAAAGUCAUGGUUAAGUGGGAAACGAUGUGGGAAGGCCCAGACAGCCAGGAUGUUGGCUUAGAAGCAGCCAUCAUUUAAAGAAAGCGUAAUAGCUCACUGGUCGAGUCGGCCUGCGCGGAAGAUGUAACGGGGCUAAACCAUGCACCGAAGCUGCGGCAGCGACACUGUGUGUUGUUGGGUAGGGGAGCGUUCUGUAAGCCGUUGAAGGUGGCCUGUGAGGGUUGCUGGAGGUAUCAGAAGUGCGAAUGCUGACAUAAGUAACGAUAAAGCGGGUGAAAAGCCCGCUCGCCGGAAGACCAAGGGUUCCUGUCCAACGUUAAUCGGGGCAGGGUGAGUCGACCCCUAAGGCGAGGCCGAAAGGCGUAGUCGAUGGGAAACGGGUUAAUAUUCCCGUACUUGGUGUUACUGCGAAGGGGGGACGGAGAAGGCUAUGUUGGCCGGGCGACGGUUGUCCCGGUUUAAGCGUGUAGGUGUGUGUUCCAGGUAAAUCCGGUUCACUUUAACACUGAGGCGUGAUGACGAGGCACCACGGUGCUGAAGCAACAAAUGCCCUGCUUCCAGGAAAAGCCUCUAAGCAUCAGGUAACAUCAAAUCGUACCCCAAACCGACACAGGUGGUCAGGUAGAGAAUACCAAGGCGCUUGAGAGAACUCGGGUGAAGGAACUAGGCAAAAUGGUGCCGUAACUUCGGGAGAAGGCACGCUGACAUGUAGGUGAAGUGGUUUACCCAUGGAGCUGAAGUCAGUCGAAGAUACCAGCUGGCUGCAACUGUUUAUUAAAAACACAGCACUGUGCAAACACGAAAGUGGACGUAUACGGUGUGACGCCUGCCCGGUGCCGGAAGGUUAAUUGAUGGGGUCAGCGCAAGCGAAGCUCCUGAUCGAAGCCCCGGUAAACGGCGGCCGUAACUAUAACGGUCCUAAGGUAGCGAAAUUCCUUGUCGGGUAAGUUCCGACCUGCACGAAUGGCGUAAUGAUGGCCAGGCUGUCUCCACCCGAGACUCAGUGAAAUUGAACUCGCUGUGAAGAUGCAGUGUACCCGCGGCAAGACGGAAAGACCCCGUGAACCUUUACUAUAGCUUGACACUGAACAUUGAGCCUUGAUGUGUAGGAUAGGUGGGAGGCUUUGAAGCGUGGACGCCAGUCUGCGUGGAGCCGGCCUUGAAAUACCACCCUUUAAUGUUUGAUGUUCUAACGUGGACCCGUAAUCCGGGUUGCGGACAGUGUCUGGUGGGUAGUUUGACUGGGGCGGUCUCCUCCUAAAGAGUAACGGAGGAGCACGAAGGUUGGCUAAUCCUGGUCGGACAUCAGGAGGUUAGUGCAAUGGCAUAAGCCAGCUUGACUGCGAGCGUGACGGCGCGAGCAGGUGCGAAAGCAGGUCAUAGUGAUCCGGUGGUUCUGAAUGGAAGGGCCAUCGCUCAACGGAUAAAAGGUACUCCGGGGAUAACAGGCUGAUACCGCCCAAGAGUUCAUAUCGACGGCGGUGUUUGGCACCUCGAUGUCGGCUCAUCACAUCCUGGGGCUGAAGUAGGUCCCAAGGGUAUGGCUGUUCGCCAUUUAAAGUGGUACGCGAGCUGGGUUUAGAACGUCGUGAGACAGUUCGGUCCCUAUCUGCCGUGGGCGCUGGAGAACUGAGGGGGGCUGCUCCUAGUACGAGAGGACCGGAGUGGACGCAUCACUGGUGUUCGGGUUGUCAUGCCAAUGGCACUGCCCGGUAGCUAAAUGCGGAAGAGAUAAGUGCUGAAAGCAUCUAAGCACGAAACUUGCCCCGAGAUGAGUUCUCCCUGAGACUUUGA
rnacentral:rRNA from 1 species